rnacentral:rRNA from 1 species
UACGAAGGGGGCUAGCGUUGUUCGGAAUUACUGGGCGUAAAGCGCGCGUAGGCGGUUUUGCAAGCCAGAGGUGAAAUGCCUGAGCUCAACUUAGGAAUUGCCUUUGGGACUGCGAGGCUUUGAGGACUGGAGAGGUGAGUGGAAUUCCCAGUGUAGAGGUGAAAUUCGUAGAUAUUGGGAAGAACACCGGUGGCGAAGGCGGCGUCACUGGCCA